rnacentral:tRNA from 1 species
GCUCCUGUAGUCCAACGGACAGGGCACCGGAUUACGGAUCCGGGAAUCGGGGUUCGAAUCCCCGCAGGAGUAC